rnacentral:tRNA from 1 species
GCAGUCGUGGCCGAGUGGUUAAGGCGAUGGACAAGAAAUCUAUUGGGAUCUUCCCGCGUAGGUUCGAAUCCUACCGACUGCG